CUUAAGCACAUAAACACACACUUAUGCACAGAGGAUGAGAGGAUGAAGGAGAGAGCGAGAGAAAGAGCGAGAGAGACUCGGAUCAGUGCACAAAGAGGUUAAUUAAGUGUCUAAUGCAGUGGCAGGGCAGCCGCUUGACACUCAUCCUCUUUAACAGGUUUAUGGGCGCGGCUGCGCUCUCUCCCGCUCUCCCGACAGCCUUCAUGGAGCUCUGGUUAAAAAAUUCUUCUUCUUUAACGAAUACAAAUAUUGCACCUGUUGGAAAAUUACUCUUUUAUGAGAGGAAUUAAAAAAUAAUUAUACACAUUAUAUAUAUAUAUAUAUAUAUAUUAAAACACCUCGUGACGCGCUGUUAUAGGAAAAGAAUCCAUUCCAGGAUGUUAACGAGCCAGGGGUCGAUUGUUUUCCUGGAACGGCACGACACAGAGUGUUUCAUUCGUUGCUUAGCAGCACGCUCAGCCCUCCGGUCCUCGUCGUGGCCCGCGUCUUCGGUUACCACCGUCGAAUCAUCGACGAUAUCGUAAUCAUAACCACGACCGCGAUUUACUACGGCUUUCGCUUUCGACGUUGCUGAACCGCCUGCGGGAUUUUUCUUUCAGGGAGGCGGAGCGUUACGGAGCCCGUGAUUUUUAACAGUCUUAUAAAGAAGGAUGUUUAUUUUUUCUGCUGAGUCACUCUCGGCUGAUUUCCUCUCUCGGUGUGUAUCCCACGCCGACGCCGUGGACCUUAUUGUGAGCGUUUUUGAUGGGUGAAACGAGUGAUGCACGGCAUGAGCUCAUCAUAAAUGUUUCAGACGGAGUGUAUAUAUAUAUAUAUAUGUGUGUGUGUGUGUGUGUGUGUGUAUAUGACGACGGGCCGCUGAAUUAUUAGACAAAUAACGUGCAGCCGAGGUGGUAAUGAAUGCGGCCACGAGGCGAAGCGGAGGCUUGAGCUACUGAUAUGCGGUUAUUAGAGCGAGCGAGAGAGAGAGAGAGAGAGAGAGAGAGAGAGAGAAUGUGUGAUAAGCCGGUGAACAAGCAUCAAUAUUUAUUUUCUUAUUUGUUGUAUUUUCUGCAGUAGUAAAAAAGCGAUACACCCCAUGAACAAGUAUUUAUUUUUUAUAUUAUCAGCAUAAAAUAAAAUAAAAAACAGUGAACUCUCUCUCUCUCUCUCUCUCUCUCUCUCUCUCUCUCUCUCUCUCUCUCUCUCUGUCUCUCUCCAAUAACGGCUCGAGCCUCCGCUAUGACGUUAAAUGACGGUUUGGAAUUAGUGACGGAGGUUCGAGAGGACCUGCGUAAUGAAUUAGUUCCCCACACACACACUCGAGAGCGUUUUGAGGACAAAAGCCUGACGAAUGUCUUGAAAUAAAACAUCUGAGCGAUGUCUCGAGGUGUGUGAACUGUGGUGUAAGCGGAAUAAUCGACUCCGGUACGUUGCAUUAUUAGAAAAUAACACACACCCGAGGUGUAACUCCUGUAUUACCACCGUGGGGUGUGCAUCAUGUUCUAAUAACUCAACGGCCCAGAGUCAGUUAUUAUAUAUAUAUAUAUAUAUAUCUCCUCAGAUAGACUUGUCAUGCCUUUGAUAAAAGAAAAACAUAUUGAAGUCAUCACCGUGGCUGGAUCGGGAAGCUGUCACAAGGUUGCGAUGGACUUCAACAGGAAACACGGCGAGCACAUCACACACGACACACUGCUGCCAAACUUAUUAACACAUUCAUAAAGACUGGAAGUGUAUGAAGACUUUUGGGACACUCUGUAUAUAUAUAUAUAUAUAUAUAUAUAUAUAUUAUAUACAGUACUGCAGGCACGUGCAAAGAAAUGUUGUAGCACACAGAUGCCUUCAAAAAUAAUGAAAUCAGAUGUUUCUACAUUUAAAAAAAAUACUAUAAAGAGCAGUAAUAAAUGAAAGAAAGUCAACAUUUGAUGUAAAUAAAAUGAGUAGUCUGUAGAACAUAAGCAGUAGAACGUGUGCAGGUUUAUAAGGAAGAGAGCUGUGAGUGUCACUGAGCGUUUCAGCAUUUCAGAACCAGACGCGGUUCUUCUGGAGACCUUGACUGUCGCCCUCGCGUCUUAUUUUCGCAGCGAAACCCAGAAGCCUUCAUUGUGGUCGUUUUUUUUUUUUUGGUCUCUUACAUAAUAUGCUGCUUUCUUUAAUUUCUGACUAGGGUAAGAGUGAAAAGUGCUUUUACAAGUACAACUUUAUCCACAGAGUUCCUUCCGGAAACGUAAAAGCGUAAAUAUAGCACAUCACUAGUACGUAGAUUCGGACGAUGAUAUAAUAUAAUAUCGAGAUCACGAUUUGUACGCUUGUCCUCGUCUAUGUGUCUCGGUGUCUCGUCUACGGAGUGUAUGAGCCGGUUUAUAAUAACUCACCGUAAUUAACAUCUUAAUGGAGGUUUACCUUUAUUUCCUACCAAUUUAUUACGUUUUCCUCCCGUUUUGUUAGUAAAUAAUGCAAGUUGAAAAUGUUUAAACUCAUCCUGGAUGUCUUUAGGCAUCGCGUUCUCCUGGCACGUCGGUCACGUGACUUUUUCUUUUUUUAAAGUAACCAGAGGUGAAAGGUGGUUAAAACGGCUCACGUUGCCACGAAGAGAAGAGGCAGUACUUGGACAGAGUCGAUAGGUACACUGCGAUCCUGAUUUACGUUCCCCCAAAAACUGCUAGUUCCAGAUAAAAUGUCCGAAAGUUCUCAAAUCUCCUACACAACCCCUGGAGAAACUCGCUGCACGUAUCGAUCGAGUUACUCGUUUAUUUAUUUAAGAGCGCAGAAGCCGAGUGUUUCUGGAAUCCUGGGGAAGAAAAAAAAACUUACUGGGAAGUAAAGUCGAUAUCAGCUAGCUAUUAACUCCGGCUAAUGUUAGCAAGCACUGCUUGCUUUUGAUUAGCUGAUCUCCCCAGUUAGCUAGCUAGCUAACAGGUGGGUAAACCCGCCUGUUUGUGGAGAGUUAAACGUUUGGAUGUCGGUAUGGCUCGAGAAACAUUCCGCUUUGAUAGAUGUACUGUAAGUUCCCCUCUGGAGCCCCCGCACAGCUAACAUGGCUAGCCUUCGUCUUAUUAGCUAACCCAGGACAGCGUUAGCUACAGUAGCAUCUUGACCUGAAAUAAUGCGCUCGUUACACAGUCGGGGUCGCCUUAUCGGCACACGCCCUUAUUCGUUCCUCAAAAUGGUAUACGGUGUGACCUGACGGGGAAUGCUGAGACGGGGAGUUGAUGUCAUCGAAGUAACUUUCGCUAAUCUUAGCGGUGUUAUGUUAGUAACGUCAGGAACGUCAGCUGCUGAACGUCCCAGUCGUCCUGUGAUCUAUCUAGCUGGCUAACACGGCUACGGUUCAGCAUGACAGAGUAUUAGCGCAGACUAGAUUAUCAGUAUGAAUGAAAACGGAUCUUUUUUCAAAUCUGGAAAUAAACACCGAUGCAGUCAGUCCCUGAAGCACUCCUCAGUGCCUUUGGCAGAUGUUAUACAGUGUGACGUCACAUAAAAACGCAAGGAUUUGUUUUUUUUUUUUUUUUCUUUUUUCCAUAUCGACCAUCCAUGACCUUCCUCUUGCUAAUAUGAUUCUGCGGCUCACUCGGGUCCCGAUCCUAAUCCUUCCGCUUCCUGUCUCCUGCCGACCGGGUCUGGUACAUGGCAGAUUGAGGCCGUGGAGGCACUUUAGUGUGUGCUGUGAUGAUUUUUGUCUCAGUGUGUGUGUGUGUGUGUGUGUGUGUGUGUGUGCUGUUAUCAGAGUGUGUGUAAUUGGGUUCCGUGCGGGAGAUGGCACUUGGGCCUGCGCUGUCCGUGAAGAUCUCGGGCCUCUCCAUACCCUUCAGCCUGCGCUCCUGACGGCGAAAAGUGCCUUUGUUUUCUUAUCUCACACACACACACGCACACACGCACACACACACACACACUCCUCUCGAAGCACGGCAGGAGUUAAUCAACAUGGAUGAGGGGUUUCUCUAUCUGACACACACUCCGUCUCCGUCUCACUCGCAGUUUCUUCAUUUCUUUCCCCCUCCGUCGUUCUUCUAUCAUCUCUCACGUCUUUCCAUUUUGUUGUUGUUGUUGUUGUUGUUUUUUUGCAAUAAAUCUGGUGUGUUUUGUUAAUUUCAUGGAUGGUAGGCACACUUUUACGGUACAAAAAUGCCUCAAAGAUCCGUGCAAACGGUGCCGAGUCGCACGGCGGCCAUUUUGAUUGUGAUGUCACGCCCAAGGUGAUGAGAGGGCAGUUUAAUAGGCGCGUUAAGAACAACGUCAAGAGGACAGAGUUGCUGAAUGACACAAUGCCGAAGAUCCAGAACACUUACCAGACCGUAGCUUGUUAGCUAGCUUAUGUUACGUCGCUAGCUAGCAAUAACAUAAUAAACAGCGUACGUCAAUAAGGGUAACAUUACUACAAAUGUCCGAUCAUAACGUUUCAUUACGGUAUCAAAAUAAAAUCAAGUUUUACAAGAAUAAGACAAAACAAAAUGCACUUUGUCGCGUUACCGAGAAACCGUACGGUGUAAACGCCUCUGUCCUGCAGACGGCGGAAAACGUACGGCUUCAACUCCGACUCUCACGGCACUCCGAUGUUUGUGUGUGUCUAGCCAGCACGCAGUAAAUCUCGGAGAUUUGAAAGAGACGUGCACGUAGCUUUGCUGCGAUUGUCACCUUCGAGUCGUGAGCGUCUUGUGGCAUCCCUCAGAGUUUAAUCCUGAGCCCCAUACAGGUCAGUGACACAAUAUGUAUGAAGGGUUUGUCGUUGUUGUUAUUAUUAUUAUUAUUAUUAUUUAUUUAUUUAUUUUAUUUGAGCUUAUUUGUAUCCAAUUUGGACCCCCGCUAUGUCCGAGCCGCUAGUUAGCGCCAAGCUAUUAUUAUACGAUAUUAAACGGGGAGGCUGAGACACGUGGAUAAUCGCAUACACGUGGAUAAAAGCUUAAUUUACAACCUUAUAGCUUAGAACCUUACCUUUAUUAGGCUAGCAUGAGCGAUCUAUAUGCAAACCCUUUAAUGUCUGACAGAUCGCAACGAUUUCUGGGUGAAGUUCUGCUCCGGUAUCGACUCGAUCCUUCGCCCUUCCAACGGGUCACCUAACACACUUCACUUAAGCUAAUAGAGUACCGGAGAUUUCCCACGGGGAAAUGACGAACGUUAUUGAAACCGCGGUGGGGGGGCGGGCGGCGGUGGGGGUUCUACAUCGCUCCCUCCAUCCCUCUUCCCGUCAGCGUUCCCACCGUGGGCAGCACCGUUUCGACUCUGUACUUCAUCAGCGUUUCAAUUAAUCGCAUCGCACGCACUGCGGGGAACACGCAGACUCGGGCUCGUAGCAGAAUACCAAUACCAGCGUUACGUAUUCCAAGUACAAAACACAAGAAUCCGUAUUCGGUCUAAGAUACAAUUUGAGGAGCGAGAAUGCAGAAUACAGUUACUUUUUUUUUUUUUUUUUUUUUUUUUUUUUU
ensembl:lncRNA